UACGUAGGGUGCGAGCGUUAAUCGGAAUUACUGGGCGUAAAGCGUGCGCAGGCGGUUCGUUAAGUCAGAUGUGAAAGCCCCGGGCUCAACCUGGGAACUGCAUUUGAAACUGGCGGGCUUGAGUAUGGCAGAGGGGGGUGGAACUCCGCGUGUAGCAGUGAAAUGCGUAGAUAUGUGGAGGAACACCGAUGGCGAAGGCAGCCCCCUGGGUCAAAACUGACGCUCAUGCACGAAAGCGUGGGGAGCAAACAGG
rnacentral:rRNA from 1 species